rnacentral:rRNA from 1 species
UGGGGAAUUGUUCGCAAUGGGCGCAAGCCUGACGACGCAACGCCGCGUGGAGGAUGAAGAAUUUCGGUUCGUAAACUCCUUUCGAUCGGGAAGAACAGCUUUCGGGUUAACAGCCUGGAUGCCUGACGGUACCGAGAGAAGAAGCCCCGGCUAACUCUGUGCCAGCAGCCGCGGUAAUACAGGGGGGGCAAGCGUUGUUCGGAAUUACUGGGCGUAAAGGGGUUGUAGGCGGCCAACUAAGUCCGACGUGAAAUCCCAAGGCUUAACCUUGGAACUGCGUCGGAUACUGGAUGGCUUGAAUUCGGGAGAGGGAUGCAGAAUUCCAGGUGUAGCGGUGAAAUGCGUAGAUAUCUGGAGGAAUACCGGUGGCGAAGGCGGCAUCCUGGACCGACAUUGACGCUGAGAACCGAAAGCUAGGGGAGCAAACGG